ensembl:lncRNA
CCUUGGAAUGAGCAGGGUCUGGUUAGGACAGGCUGAGCGGCUCUGUCGGCCCUCUCCUGCUGCUUCUCUCCUGCUCCUGCUCCAUUCUGUCCACAACAGUGGUCUGCCCAGGACAGCAGCAGUUUAUAGGUAACACAGCAAAGGAAGAAAUCAGACUGUGGGACUUCUCCAGGACAACUCACAUUGUGCUUUUCAAAAUAGUGUCAAGAAAGAUUAAAAGGUGGGGAGGUGGGGAGAUAGUUCUAGACAAGGCUAAAGAGAUGACAACCAAAUGCAAUACAUGGAACUUGACUGGAGCCUGAUUAAACAAUUAUGAAUGACAUUGUGGGGAAAUUCAUAUAUGACUGGAUAUUAGAUAUUAGUGUCAAGGAAUUGUCUGCUUUGGGACCAGAUAACAGUACUGGGGUUACAGACUUAAUCUUAGGAGACACAGGAUGAAGUACUUAGAAGUGAAAGG